AAAGUCUCAACCGUUCAACAAGAAACUCCAGAAUAUCAGCAUAGUCCUUGGCCGUGUAGACACCAAGCCUCUGGGCAGCGGUUGAGAAGUGCGCAAACAGGCUAUCAUCUUGGCCAUAUCAUACAUUAAAUGCGCAGGCAUUGAGAUCUUUUUCUUCUUUUCCUAAUUAUUCGUUUUUUAAAAGGUUAUAAAUCCUCAUUUUAUCCCCAUGAAUUUACAUGACAAAAUUAUAAAUUUAGAUAUUAAAAAGAAAGAAAAAGGUUUAUACAUAUGUCCCCAUCCCACACUAUUAUUAUUUAUUAAUAAAUGUGAACAAAACAUAAGUGUGAGAAGCGAACCCUAAAUUUUACGAUCAUGUCUCCGAAUAUGAGAUCCAUCUUUGCUCAGGUGCGUCGUAAAUCUGAUCAUGGUAUCAUCUUCAUCCUCUAUAUUUCUCUGUUGGGUUUGGACUGGACGCAGGUACGUCGAAAGUCAGUACCGAUGGGGAGUACCCGCAAUUUCUGUUCAUCCUCAACCCACAGUGAAGAGUCGAAGAAAAUAGCUAUAGUUACUUUUGUUGUAACUCGAACCCUAGGAUUUGCUUCCGGAUAUCUCAUUGGCCAUUAUCUAAUUGGUGAUCUUGAUAAGUUAUAUGAGGAGCGGAUGCAAGAGGAUCUGAGGAAGGCUAAGGGAAUGGAAGAGUUGUUGGCCAAUGUUGCAAAACUUGCUAAGGGAAUGGAUGAGUUGUUGGCCAAUGUUGCAAAACUCUCCAAAAAGUAGCCAAUUAAUUGGCUUUUGCUAUAUGUAUAAUGUGUGGUCGUAUGUGCAUGUGGUUUUGUCUAAACUUAAACACUUGUCUCUGAGAUUGCUUUCUUUUCGCUCUGUCAAAAUAUUUUAAUUUCUUGUGUUUUUUUUCUGGGACCAAAGAGUAUGUAUGUAGUAUGCUGUAAGGUGAGAAUUAAUGUUCUCUCUUACAACGAUUGCAAAUACAACUGUCCUACCUUUCUGUACUUUGUAGUAUUGUCUUUCUGUGAUAUUUGGUCCGAUUUUAGUUGAUAAUAGUGUUUCACAUGUUUUUCUAUGGAGGCCCUAGCUAGUUCCAUUACAAGCACUGUAAGCCUAAGCAUUCGCAGGUUGAUUAUGUUUGUCUCUGGUAAGAAGGCUGGAAAGUUAUGAUGUACGUUAAACUGAUUUUCCACUGGUAAAUGAAGAGAUGAAAAUUUAUCUGCCUAGGCUUUUUGAAUUACCAUUCCCAACAAUGUUGAAAGCAAAGGGUUUUCGAAAAAACUCUACAUUUUAAAUUAGCAAAAAUUGAAGAAAGCUAGUGGUAGGGCAUACGGCUCAAUAUAGUAUAUAUUCAGAUAAUAAUAUUAUCCCGCGGUGUGAGACAAAUAAAGAAAGAAAGACCGAACCCUAACUAUGUCGCCGAAAAUGAGAUCGAUCUUUGCUCAGGUACAUCGUAAAUCGGUUUCGAUGGGGUCUCGCCGGAAUUUCUCUUCAACCAAAGCUUCUUCAGAGUCGAACACUGCUGGUUUUGAGAUGGCUAAUGAGUUUAGCUUUGUCGAUUCGGUGAAGCUUGGAUUCUUUGCUUGGGGAUCUUUGGGGAUGUACAAGCUUUAUAAAUACUACUAUCCCAAGUUGCUGAUAUGUCAGGAAGAAUAUAAAAUCCUGGUACAACGUCAGCACGAACUGUAUGCGCAGAUCAAGAUGGAUAAUAAUUCUCGCAAGCCUCACUUUGAAGAAAUGUUUUAUGCUGUGAACAUCGAACAAAAUAAUGAAUAGAUGCUUGCAUUGUUUUUUGUCGUUUGUUUUCUGUAAUUUGCACCUUCUGUUUGUUUGCUCUUCAUCUCUCUCUUGAAGAAUGAUGAUCCCUAAUGUUUUCAUUUUAAGUGUUGGCCUAAACUAUUUGAUUCUCAGUGAUAUGUGAAAUUCUGGCCUUUGAUCUUUUUCUUUACUAGAAGGAGACUCCCUAUCUUUCUUGCUGGUAAUAAAUGAAUGAUUCUGGAGAAUUAUGCUCUAAUUAAUCUUGUUCUUUCUUUAAACUUAGCAAACCUCUACCUCCAAUUGAACCUCCCUCAAAGUUGUUAAUCUUUAAAAUAAACUCAACUACAUUGAUUCAAGUGAAUCUCAAGAGUAAUCCUCUCUCUCAAUAAAACGCAAAGAAUGAAGUGCCGGACCACAAUAUCUUCAGAUCGGAAGCAAUUAAAAAAUAAACGCCUCUUAAUGUUUAAACUGCUUGGAGAAAGCUAGGGCUAAGUCCCAACAGUAGAUUUAAAAUAAGACUUAAUUGCACUCUAAAACAUUAUUAUAAAGAAAGUCAAAAAGAAGAACAGCCAACCCUAAAUUUCACGUCACGACCAUGCCGCCGAAUAUGAGAUCGAUCCUUGCUCAGGUACAUAAAAAGUCGUUAUCGAUGCAGUCUUGCCGCAAUUUCUCUUCACCCGCCAGCAAAGAGCCAAAGAAAAGAUCUGACGUGGCUUCAGUGGUAGCUCGAACCCUCGGGUGUGCUACGGGACUUAUCGUUGGCUAUCGUCUAACUCUGGAGGGACGCCUAUGAAUACUUCAACAAAACGGAAAAGUUAUCUUGGUGGUCUAUGUAAUAAUUAUAUGUUACGUUCCAACUUUCCUUUGAGAUUGUUUUCUCUUUUGCUCUUUGUCAGAAUAUUAAAACUCGUGUGUUGUUUUCGUAGACCAACCGCAUAUGUAGUUGAGAAUGCUUUAUUAAAGUGAUAAUGUUUUAUCAAUGCUCGUUUUGGAGCUCCUCUCAUCCCUUUCUCUCUCUCUCUCACUAUGUGUUUUGUUCUAAGGCACCAAUACAAUACUGAAGAAUCAGGAAAAAUUAUGGUUUGCAUUUAAAGUUUAGAGGCAAAACAAGAUCGUGUACAGAGACUUUCUUCUUCUUUUAAUGUGAGAGAGUAACAUAAGAGAAAGAAGAUUUGUGCGUUUGCAGUUAUGGUUUCAUCUAAUAAGACUUUACUCUGUUUCAAUUGUAUUAAAACGUUCUUUUUAAGUUUCAUCUUUGUUAAAACGGUCACUUUUGUUUAGUUGUUACUUGAACAAGAGAUUUAAAUUACAAACCAUUCUUUGCUUAUGAGAGAACAACUCAAACAGCUUUAGUACUGAUACAACAAAAACAGAAUAGAACAUAAAAAAAAAAAAACUCUUAAAGUCUUUGUUCUUUAACCAGACAUUAUCAUUAGGAACACUCAAAA